AUACGUAGGUGACAAGCGUUAUCCGGAUUUACUGGGCGUAAAGGGCGUGUAGGCGGUUUAGCAAGUCAGAAGUGAAAUUCCCGGGCUUAACUUGGGCGCUGCUUCUGAAACUGCUUUACUUGAGUGCUGGAGAGGAUAGUGGAAUUCCUAGUGUAGCGGUAAAAUGCGCAGAUAUUAGGAGGAACACCGGUGGCGAAGGCGGCUAUCUGGACAGUAACUGACGCUGAGGCGCGAAAGCACGGGGAGCAAACAGGAUUAGAUACCCUGGUAGUCCGUGCCGUAAACGAUGAAUACUAGGUGUAGGGGGUAUCGACUCCCUCUGUGCCGCAGUUAACACAUUAAGUAUUCCACCUGGGGAGUACGGCCGCAAGGUUGAAACUCAAAUGAAUUGACGGGG
rnacentral:rRNA from 1 species